UACGGGGGGGGGGCAAGCGUUGUUCGGAAUUACUGGGCGUAAAGGGCUCGUAGGCGGCCAACUAAGUCGGACGUGAAAUCCCCAGGCUCAACCUGGGAACUGCGUCCGAUACUGGAUGGCUUGAAUCCGGGAGAGGGAUGCAGGAUUCCAGGUGUAGCGGUGAAAUGCGUAGAUAUCUGGAGGAAUACCGGUGGCGAAGGCGGGUCUCUGGGCCUGUACUGACGCUGAGGAGCGAAAGCGUGGGAGCGAACAGG
rnacentral:rRNA from 1 species